GUGAGGUAACGGCUCACCAAGGCAUCGACGGGUAGCUGGUCUGAGAGGAUGAUCAGCCACACUGGGACUGAGACACGGCCCAGACUCCUACGGGAGGCAGCAGUGGGGAAUAUUGCACAAUGGGCGCAAGCCUGAUGCAGCGAUGCCGCGUGCGGGAUGAAGGCCCUAGGGUUGUAAACCGCUUUCAGUAGGGAAGAAAAUGACGGUACCUACAGAAGAAGGUGCGGCCAACUACGUGCCAGCAGCCGCGGUGACACGUAGGCACCAAGCGUUGUCCGGAUUUAUUGGGCGUAAAGAGCUCGUAGGCGGUUCAGUUAGUCGGGUGUGAAAACUCUGGGCUCAACCCAGAGACGCCACCCGAUACUGCUGUGACUAGAGUCCGGUAGAGGAGUGUGGAAUUCCUGGUGUAGCGGUGAAAUGCGCAGAUAUCAGGAGGAACACCAGCGGCGAAGGCGGCACUCUGGGCCGGUACUGACGCUGAGGAGCGAAAGCAUGGGGAGCAAACAGGAUUAGAUACCCUGGUAGUCCAUGCCGUAAACGGUGGGCACUAGGUAUGGGACCCUAUCAACGGGUUCCGUGCCGUAGCUAACGCAUUAAGUG
rnacentral:rRNA from 1 species